rnacentral:lncRNA from 1 species
UUCUUUUUUUUUUUUUUUUAUUUUGAGGCAGGUUAUUGCUAAGCUGCUAAAGGUUUUGUUAAAUUGGUGAAACUGGCCUUGAACUUGUGAUCUUCCUGCUCCCAUCUCCUGAGUUGCUCGGAUAAUAGGCAUAUACCACUGCAUGUGGCAGAAGUGGAUUUUUUUUUAGUAUUUUAUUAAUUUUGUCUUUAAUAACAUUUAUUUUAUGUGACUUAUAUGAUUUUAUAGUUUAUAUGACUUUGAUUUUGAUAAUGGCUAUGUUUAACAACUAGCUUGCAAAGUUCUUGAGAGAUUUAACCACUGGUUCUCACUAGCUUACGAGCACUAGCUGGUCCCUGCACACCACUAGAUGUCCUUUUUGGCUGUGAACACCUUACAAAUGCCAAGUACUUUUUCCCUUCUUAUGGAGGAAUGGUUUGAGCUGGGACACUAACUUUCAUUUUUAAUAUUUGACCAAGGGCUAUACCUUAGCCAUCUGAGUUAUUUUGGCAGUUGUAUUUUAAAGUAGUCCAUAUUAGACUUUCAAGGACUGAGCCUGGGGGUCCUGCUACGCCCUCUGAUGCUCAGGCCACAGAGCUUCCUGCACACAUUUCAGUCUGGACAGAGGGCGAUGUGGAGAGAGCAGCUUUGUUUCUGGACUCUCAUCCUGAGGACUUGAGAGAUCAGUUUCCAAUUGCUGUUAUUCUUGCCUCUUAAUUAUUCUAGUUUGGCUUUUCUGUGAUCUCUUUAAUUUUGUUGUGGGUUAGGUGGUGCAGCCUGCAUUGACUGCUCCUUAUCGAUUACUGAUGUUUGUGUCUCCACUGUGGUUCAAGUACGAGCCAUUUACAUCUAUUGUGCUAAGGCAGGCAGAUAGUAUAAAAAUCAUCUUCUAGAUGGGUCAGUGAUAUUUCACUGUAAUGUCCCAUAAUCUGUGAAACUGUGCUACAUAGUCAAUUAAGUGUUAUAGCUAAUAAAGGAACAAUACAUUUGCUGAGUUAUUUUCAGGUUUAUUGUAAAUAAUUUUAAAACUAGAAAUUGAACGUUGAGUAAUAGGCAGACGCCUACUGUCUUGUCUUGUACAUAAUAGAAGAUUCCUAUACGCUGGCCUCCCAUCUCUACCAUCUUUGUUGAAUUUCAGACAGCCAGGGUGAACUGGGAUUGACUUCUGAGAAGAGUUCUUGCUAUGGGUUGUAUAUGACCUGAAAGGCCCACAUGCCAGAAGUUUGGUGCCACAAAGUAUCGGUGUUUAAAGGUGGUGGCUCUAUAUAAGGUGGCGCCUAGUAGAAAGUGAUCAGGUCAUGGGAACAUCACCCUAGGAAAUCACUGUAGUUCUCAAAGGACUGGUUUUGUACUCUCAAGAGGGCUAAUUGUUACAAAGUGAGACCACCGGGCUGGGGUUGUGGCUCGGAAGUAGGGAGCUCACCUAGAAUGCAUGAGACUCUGGGUUCGAUCCUCAGCACCACAU